UUAAAAAUCGUUCAAGGUAACAAUUUAAAAGAAGAUUCUCAACCAGCAGGACCCCAUCAUAUGGAAUCACCAGAGAUUGUAACAGCUAAUAAUGUCAUUAUCUCGAACAUGUCUCCACCAUCAUGUGUUACACUAGAAGAGAUCCAUGCUCAUUUUCACUCAAUACUGAUCCAAGGAUGGUGUUAUUUUGCUUGUGAUGAAGAGUUGAUAUUAUAUAAGAUAUGAAUUUUACUAUUUCCAAUAAUCUUUCAGUGAAGGUUUCUUUCUCUCAACAACCAGAAAUUGUUAUUGAUACUACAUCAUCUAUAGAAGAUAUAAAAAUGUAUAUGGAAACUCUGCAAGCCACUAUUUUAUGUAAAGGAACUGACAUACACUAUAGGUGAAAAUUGAAAAUAAACUUAAAGAUUCACCUAAAUCGAGGCUCCAUCUAGAACUGUGACACCUGAAGUAAAAACAAGCAUCAAGUACAUCUUUUAGUAGUAGUGUGAAAAGAAAGAAAGUAUCUACAUUACCUUUGAAAAAUUCCAAAUCAUCUUGUAAGUCAAUAGAUAUGUUUUUUAGGUAGCAGAUUUUUUUUGUAAUUAUCUAACUGUAUG